rnacentral:rRNA from 1 species
AUGCGCUAUGCAAAGCAAGAGGACAAGGCAGAGGUGGUUCUUCGAUCAAUGGUUCAUAAUGGUGCCCAACUAGAUGCUGUGACAUAUAAUAGCUUGAUGCAAGGAUAUUCAACUUUGGGACAGUUGAAAGAAGUCGCUAGGUUGUUGAAAGUGAUGAGAAGCCAAGGUGUUAUGCCAAGCGUUGUUACCUACAACUCACUCAUGACCUGCCUUUGCAAGAAUGGAAGAUUCAAGGAAGCUGUAGAAUUUUUUUAUUCCAUGGCCGUGAACGGCCAAAAACCUGAUGUCAUCUCAUACUCUGUUUUGCUCCAUGGGUACGCUAAAGAAGGAUCCCUCAUUGAUAUGAUUGAUCUCUGUGAGCGGAUGGCAAGAGAUGGAGUUGUACCCGACCUCCAUUGUUUCAACAUACUGAUUAGUGCAUAUGCUAAGUAUGGAAGGAUGGGUGUGGCUAUGCUUUUCUUCGAAGACAUGUUGAAGAAGGGGUUGAACCCUAAUGAAUUCAUUUAUUUAACUGUCAUAUCUGCAUUUUGCAAGAUGGGCAGGAUGGAUGAUGCUCUGGAAAAAUUCAAUGAGAUGAUUGAUAGGGGAGUACCACUUGACACAAAAAAUUACAUGUGCAUGAUUGAGGGUUAUUUGAACCAUGGUGAUUCUGUGAAAGCUGAGGAAUUUAUUACCAAAAUGAAGAGCAGGGAUAUUCGUCAUAGGCCGUGGAAGGGUAAUUGA